AAGGGAAAAAAAAGGGGGUUGGGGGAAGGAAUUUAGAAUGAACUUUGUACGAACCUGAAUUGUCCAAUUUCAUGGACCAAUCGAUAUCGGAUUGAGUCCAAAACCUGGGGAACAUCAUAAUAUAGUGGGAGGAGUUAUUUGGUGGGUUUUGAGUGAAAUCCAAUCUUUAGAACUAUGCAAUACACCAGCCACUCUAUUUUAUAACGAACUUUGUACGAACAUGAAUUGUCUAAUUUCAUGGACCAAUCGAUAUCGGAUUGAGUCCAAAGCUUGGAGAACAUCAUAAUAUGGUGGGAGGAGUCAUUUGGUGGGUUUUUAGUGAAAUCCAAUCUCUAGAACAAUGCAAUACACCAACCACUCCAUUUCAGUACGAACUUCGUAUGAACCUGAAUUGUCCAAUUUCAUGGACCAAUCGAUAUCGAAUUAAGUCUGAAGCUUGGGGAACAUCAUACUAUGGUGGGAGGGGUCAUUUGGUGUGUUUUGAGUGAAAUCCAAUCUCUAGAACUAUGUAAUACACCAACCACUCCUUUUUAGAACGAACUUUGUACAAAUUUGAACUGUCCAAUUUCAUGGACCAAUCGAUAUCGGAUUGAGUCCAAAGGUUAGGGUACAUCAUGAUAUGGUGGGAGGAGUUAUUUGGUUUGUUUUGAGUAAAAUCCAAUAUCUAGAACUAUGCAAUAUACCAACCGCUCCGUCUUUUAUUUGUUUUAAUUUUUUUUUUCAUGAAGUCUAGAUUAUAAAAGAAGACCAUGAGACAAUAAGUUGAUCAUCAAAGCAAACAUACAGAUCCCAAAGGAGAGCUAAUCAGUGUGAGACAAUGACGACUUCUCCAGUGAAAGAUCAGGUGAGAGACUUAGUUGAGAAAGAAAUCGACAACGCGCACAAGGUUGUCGAUGC
rnacentral:lncRNA from 1 species